UGAGUAAUUUUGCAAGCAUGGUCAAUGACACAAAUUUACUUGUAUCGUCCUGGGCAUGCAGCAAAGAAAAACAGUUUUCCAACAACUCCAUAGAACCUCUCGACUCGCCGGAAGCAUUUGAAUCCUCGUCCUUAUCAGUAACAAAAUGAACCUCCGUUACAUGGUCCUCACUCAGCUUUUCAGACGCAUACGAGUCAUCUUCGGAGAGAAGCUGCUCAUACGAUAUAGUGCGCACGCCUUUGGGACCCUUGUGAAGAUGAAAGUGUGGAAUAUGCAUUAAGGUGAAUUGAAUUGUACCUCAAUAACCUAUUAUUUAUGAAAAAAAAACUUAAAACCGAGCUCUUCUCACUGCAGUCUACGACACUAAGUAAACUUUGACAAACGAAAAGAGGAAUGCACC